GACAGAUGGAAGGACGUUGAUGGAUCCCGACAGCCAGUGAGCCAGGAUACGCCAGCGCUUUGGCCUCCAGCCUGAAUCAACAGAGCGAGCUGACGGCUAUAUCUGCCGGCCUUUAUUAACAUGGAGAGAAUUUUUUUUUCUGCGUUUUUGGGACACAUCGAACUCACGUGAGCUCCUGUGGACUCCCAUUCCCUCAGCGUGGGAUAUGUCCUGUCCACAGGACUGCUCUCAGGUGGACCUCUGGUCCCAGUUUCCAUCCUCGAUUGAUUGGCGUAAUUCUUCUUCUGCCGACUCAGCGAAGGCCCAACACACCUGCUCAGCUGCAACUUUAACACACGCAAAUCCACACACACACACACACACACGCACGCACGCAGACACACGAGCCAUCAGAGACCCUGCUGGACAUUUGGAUGGAAUUGAAAGUAGUAUGAAAACCGGAAACAGAUGCUCAGUACCUGUCUUUGUUUUUUUAUUCGUUUGUUUGUUUUCAUGUUACUGUGUUAUUUUAUUUAUUUGAAGAAUUCCCACAGCGAGUAGCGUUUGUGUUGAGCGGCAAAACUAAUAGAGCACCGGAAACAUCAAGCGCAGAGUGACGCAUUAGAAAAGUUACUUUUCUCAAAACUUAGCCAAACUUAUUUAUUCAUACAGAUGCUGUAUACUGAUUUAUCUCGUUAUUAUUUAAUUCCAACGCCAAACGUCCAUAUAACCUUUCUAAAAAUUGCUUGUGAUUCAUUUCUGAUGUCAUUGUCUUGGUUUUGAUGUUUUUAGAUGACACUGAUGAUAAUGCAACAUUAAGUGUUUUUAAUUUUUAAUAACAAUGAACAUUUCCAGAUGAAUAUAGGAAUGCUAUUUUUUUAACGUUAUAAUGGGUUUCUGAAGUCGGGACAAUUACAAGUUUGAUGUUCACUUCAUGAUGUACUCAAAAGGAAAAUUAAUGAAUCAUGAAGAAUGAACAAAAUUAUCAAAAACUGAAAUUUGAAAUGUGCAGUUGAAAAUCAAAAUGGAAAGUUAUUACACAUUAAUAAUAAUUCAGUUCAAAAUAGAGCUUGAAAAGACUUGAAAUUCAAAACCGACCCGUGUGGGCCCGUAUAUGUGAAAUUGAAAAUGGGAAAUUUCCCAGACGGUUGGUCCAAAAUAGAGCUCGUACAUUCCAAAUUGUCACGUCCCAUCGGAACGGGAGUAGGACCCAAAUGCAGGACUCGGAUGAUGCAAGGUAGUGCGGGGAGAAACGUUUAUUAUAUGCCGAGGUCGGGGAUCGAGCAGGCAGUCCGGUGCAGCAGCGGUAGUUGGGACAUCGGGCGAAGAGAGCAGGUGAGCGGGCAGGCAGGAGUCGGUACACGGGAGAACGAUCAAAGCAGGCAGAAGUAUCAAAGGAGUCAGGCUUACAAGGUUGGUCGGAGAACAGGCGAAGGUCGGUACACACGGGUUGUCGAUCAGGGAUACCGGAGAACGGGACAUGAAGCUCAACGAACUGGCCCAGACCAGUCGUUAUCGGGGUCAUAUAAAUAUGCCGGAUAAUCAGCCCGCAUGAGGCGCAGGUGUGCGCCUCCCAAUCAGCGCAACUGCACUGGCACCCGCACAGCCAGGGCUGGAGCGGCAGGAUCAUGACACAAAUUAGAAAUGGCCGCUGUAUAUUUCCAUUGAUUCUCUUCCAGUUUUGCGGCGUCAGGUUACACUCCCCAGGCACUUGGUCCGGUUCCUUUAGGAUCAUCCUGAGGUUUUUCAAGGCCAACAUGGAGACAGACCACGUUCUGGAACAUCCACACUUGAAAAUCAUUUCAUUUCAAGAGUUUGUGGACACAGAUAGUACAAUUGAAAAUUGAAAUUGAAAGUUCACACAUCCAUCCAUUAUCCAAGCUGCUCAUCCUCACAAGCCUCUGCCAGCUAACAUUGGGUGAAAGGUGGGCUACACCCUGAACUGCUUGCCAGUCAGUAACAGGGCAUAUAUCGACACUCACUGAACGGGAAUCGAUCCCAUGGUGCCUGCACCGAAUUCAGGCGUGUGUACCACUACACUAUCAGUGACUCUCUUUUGCUCCACCUGUUAUUUUGUAUUCAUUAUCGUUCAGGGCUAAAAGAAAAAUGGAUGAAGGAGCAUGUAGUUCAUUGUCCAAGAUUAUUUUUGUAGUCUUUGCAGAAAUAAAUUAUAUCGUGCUAGCUGAGCAUAACAGUCAGAAGACCUGGUAUACUGUAUUCUGCCCCAUGCUAGCAUUCACGCUACAUCCACACCGCCGGGGACACAUUUACACACAGAAUGUGCAUCUGUCAGAUAAUCUACUAGAGAAUAAACAAAAGCAUAAACACACAUCUUUCAAAAUGGAGUAUUUUUGUUUGAUUUAUGAGUGCGUGAGUAUGGGUGUCUGUGUGUUUUAUUGUGCUGUCAUGGCUAAAUGACACAAAUAAAUAGCACAGGAAAGGGAUAUUUGUGUGUGCUGUA